AAAAAAGGUAAGCUACUAAGAGCGAAUGGUGGAUGCCUUGACUGGUAAAGGCGAUGAAGGACGUACUAGACUGCGAUAAGCUACGGGGAGCUGUCAAGAAGCUUUGAUCCGUAGAUUUCCGAAUGGGGCAACCCAAUGUAUAGAGAUAUACAUUACCUAUAUAGGAGCGAACGAGGGGAAUUGAAACAUCUUAGUACCCUCAGGAAAAGAAAUCAAUAGAGAUUGCGUCAGUAGCGGCGAGCGAAAGCGCAAGAGGGCAAACCCAGUGCUUGCACUGGGGGUUGUAGGACUGCAAUGUGCAAGAGCUGAGUUUAGCAGAACAUUCUGGAAAGUAUAGCCAUAGAGGGUGAUAGUCCCGUAUGCGAAAAACAAAGCUUAGCUAGCAGUAUCCUGAGUAGGGCGGGACACGAGGAAUCCUGUCUGAAUCCGGGUCGACCACGAUCCAACCCUAAAUACUAAUACCAGAUCGAUAGUGCACAAGUACCGUGAGGGAAAGGUGAAAAGAACUGAGGUGAUCAGAGUGAAAUAGAACCUGAAACCAUUUGCUUACAAUCAUUCAGAGCACUAUGUAGCAAUACAGUGUGAUGGACUGCCUUUUGCAUAAUGAGCCUGCGAGUUGUGGUGUCUGGCAAGGUUAAGCAAACGCGAAGCCGUAGCGAAAGCGAGUCUGAAUAGGGCGCUUAGUCAGAUGCUGCAGACCCGAAACGAAGUGAUCUAUCCAUGAGCAAGUUGAAGCUAGUGUAAGAACUAGUGGAGGACUGAACCCAUAGGCGUUGAAAAGCCCCGGGAUGACUUGUGGAUAGGGGUGAAAGGCCAAUCAAACUUCGUGAUAGCUGGUUCUCUCCGAAAUAUAUUUAGGUAUAGCGUUGUGUCGUAAUAUAAGGGGGUAGAGCACUGAAUGGGCUAGGGCAUACACCAAUGUACCAAACCCUAUCAAACUCCGAAUACCUUA
rnacentral:rRNA from 1 species